UAUGACUCAUUAAUAUGGUGAUUAUGAUAACAUAAGGGAAAAAAAUGAUAUUACCUUAUUAUUAGUGUUGUCCAAAACUGGUGCCAGAAGACUCGGUAAGACCAGAGACGCAAACGUUAGUCAUCUUAAUCAGGCGUAAAGGGUUUGUAGGCUGCUUUAAAAAUUUAAAUCUUUGUAAUAGCUCUGUUACCGUAAUACUAUAUUUAUUUAUUUGAUUUGAUAAUAAAUAAUAUUGUAUAUAAAAUUUAUUAUAUAAAAUAAUAAAAUGAUAUUAAAGAAAAAUAAAUAUCCGUGUCUCAGUAAAGAAAUAAAUGAAUUAAAGCUAGGAUCAAAUUGAGGAUAAACCAAAUAAUACUUAGAGUAGGGCUUAUAUCCGUAGAUACUAAGGGGAAUACUAAAGGUGAAAACUUUUUAUCUACUAUUGAUUGACGCUGAGAAACGAAGGUGAGAAUAGGAAAUAGGAUUAGAUACCCAGAUACCUCUCACUGUCAACGAUGAAUGGUGGUUUGUUAGUUUUAAUAAAAACUGGUAACGAUGUUAACACGAUAACCAUUCCGCCUUGCGAGUACGGUUGCAAAACUGAAACCAAAAAAAUUAGUCGGUCUCGAAGCAAACGAAGUGAAGCAUGUUA
rnacentral:rRNA from 1 species